rnacentral:rRNA from 1 species
CCUACGGGUGGCAGCAGUGAGGAAUAUUGGUCAAUGGACGAGAGUCUGAACCAGCCAAGUAGCGUGAAGGAUGACUGCUCUAUGAGUUGUAAACUGCUUUUGUACGAGGGUAAACGCAGAUACGCGUAUCUGUCUGAAAGUAUCGUACGAAUAAGGAUCGGCUAACUCCGUGCCAGCAGCCGCGGUAAUACGGAGGGUUCAAGCGUUAUCCGGAUUUAUUGGGUUUAAAGGGUGCGUAGGCGGUCGGAUAAGUUAGAGGUGAAAUCCCGAGGCUCAACUUCGGAAUUGCCUCGGAUACUGGUCGGCUAGAGAGUAGUUGCGGUAGGCGGAAUGUAUGGUGUAGCGGUGAAAUGCUUAGAGAUCAUAAAGAACACCGAUUGCGAAGGCAGCUUACCAAGCUACUUCUGACGUUGAGGCACGAAAGCGUGGGGAGCAAACAGGAUUAGAUACCCGUGUAGUC